rnacentral:misc_RNA from 1 species
GAUGAAGAACUCAGCGAAAUGCGAUACUUGGUGUGAAUUGCAGAAUCCCGUGAGCCAUCGAGUCUUUGAACGCAAGUUGCGCCCGAAGCCAUCAGGUUGAGGGCACGUCUGCCUGGGCGUCACAUAUCGUUGCCCAAUGCCUAUUGCAGUGCGAUAGGAAUUUCUAGGGCGAAUGAUGGCUUCCCGUGAGCGUUGUUGCCUCGCGGUUGGUUGAAAAUCGAGUCCUUGGUAGGGUGUGCCAUGGUAGAUGGUGGUCGAGUUAGAACGAUACCGAUCAUGUGCAUGCUCCCCAAAAUAUGGCCUCUAUGACCCACACGCGUCUUUUGACGCUCAUGACGAGACCUCAGGUCAGGCGGGGCUACCCGCUGAAUUUAAGCAUAUCAAUAAGCGGAGGA